rnacentral:lncRNA from 1 species
AUCUUGUCUGCCCAGCUUCCCGUAGCCAUCCUCGCCUGCCUUCUCGCGCUGUUUCUAGCUCUCGCCAUCCCUCGGCGUACUCUUCCUCUCCUCCGAGUCAGAGUACCCUGGAGGGAUAAUGCUCUGCAGAUGAGGUUCUUGCUAUGUUGCCUAGGCUGGUCUUGAACUUCUGGCCUCAAGAAAUCCUCCUCCUGAUCCUCCUACCUCAGCCUUCCAAAGUGUUGGGAUUACAGCACUGGCUAGAACUUCCAUCCCUGUGGUGAAUAAGAGUGAUGAAAGUGGACACCAUCGUAUUAUUGAAUUGAAGGGGAAGUCAUCCCAGGGUAGAGGGAAUCCCAGUUCUGCCACCGUUGGGAAUCACAUGACUCAGAUGAGGAAACCGUGGCAAAAACAGAUGAAAUAAGUCAUCUGAAGCCAUACAACCAAGAAAUUUCUGGCAAGAACUUCUGGCAGUCUCCUGUUUCCCAGAUGCCCGGCUCCUCACUGACGUGCACAUAACAGCAAAUCUAUAACAAUCCUCCUUCCAAUUACAUCAGGUGGUGGGGGGGGGGGCGCGAGCAGGAGGGCAUAAGAAGGUCAGUACCCUAGAAGGCAGCCUCAUUUACUCAUCCACUAAGAAAAUAAUGACUGAACACCUACCAGGUUCCAGGCACUUGGGAAAAGGCAGUGAGCAAGACUGAUGAAGGCCCCAGCCCGCAAAGCCUCAUAUUCAAAAGCUGGGACAGAGAUGAGAGAAAAGUAAAGAAAUAAACAAGACAUCCUGGAUGGCGAUAAAUGCCAUGAAGAUAAUAAAACAGGGUUAUGUGAUAGAAAAUGGCCAGAAAUGAGGAUAGCAGGUUUGAUGGAGGUCUUUUCAAGAGGACAUGCAAUCAGGACCCAAUCAUGCAAUGAUGUGUGGGAAGAACCUUCCCAUAGGCCGGAGGGAGGGAUGGGCUUGGUUUAUGUGACAAAGGCUAAGUGGCUGUAGCAGAGAGAACUAAGGGAAGAGAAGCAGAGGCUAGAUGAUGGUGAGCCUUAUAAUCGAUUCAAAGACAUUCCAAGUAAGUGCAAAAGGAGGCCAUCAGAGGGGCCCUUGUGGACAUUGCAAUACAAUGUUGAAGUCCAAAAACAAUAGUCUAUUCAUUGACCUACCCUUAUUUCCUAAACUCUAAAUAAUGCUCAAUAAUUUUUUUUUAACCAAUUUACAAAUGGUUUUUUUACUUGUGCCUUCGUUUUGUUUUUGUUUUUUGUUUUGUUUUGUUGUUAUACUUCUAGCGUACAAUGUGCAGGUUUGUUACAUACGUAUACAUGUGCCAUGUUGGUGUGCUGCACCCAUUAACUCAUGAUUUAUAUUAGGUAUAUCUCCUAAUGCUAUCCCUCCCCCCUCCCCCCACCCCACCAUAGGCCCCAGUAUGUGAUGUUCCCCACCCUGUGUCCAAGUGUUCUUAUUUUCACUUCCCACCUGUGAGUGAGAACAUGCGGUAUUUGGUUUUCUGCCCUUGUGAUAGUUUGCUCAGAAUGAUGGUUUCCAGCUUCAUCCAUGUCCCUACAAAGGACAUGAAUUCAUCCUUUUUAUGGCUGCAUAGUAUUCCAUGGUGUAUAUGUGCCACAUUUCCUUAAUCCAGUCUAUCAUUGAUGGACAUUUGGGUUGGUUCCCAGUCUUUGCUAUUGUGAAUAGUGCCGCAAUAAACAUACUUGUGCAUGUGUCUUUAUAGCAGCAUGAUU